GACGAACGCUGGCGGCGUGCUUAACACAUGCAAGUCGAACGAGAGCGUAGAGAAAGCUUGCUUUUUCUACAAUCUAGUGGCAAACGGGUGAGUAACGCGUAAACAACCUGCCCUACGGAUGGGGACAACAGCUGGAAACGGCUGCUAAUACCGAAUACGUUCCGAAAGUCGCAUGACUAUCGGAAGAAAGGAUGGCCUCUAUUUAUAAGCUAUCGCCGGAGGAGGGGUUUGCGUCUGAUUAGCUAGUUGGAGGGGUAACGGCCCAACAAGGCGACGAUCAGUAGCCGGUCUGAGAGGAUGAACGGCCACAUUGGAACUGAGACACGGUCCAGACUCCUACGGGAGGCAGCAGUGGGGAAUCUUCCGCAAUGGGCGAAAGCCUGACGGAGCAACGCCGCGUGAGUGAAGACGGCCUUCGGGUUGUAAAGCUCUGUUAUACGGGACGAAUAAUCUUGUGGUUAAUACCCAUGAGAAGUGACGGUACCGUAAGAGAAAGCCACGGCUAACUACGUG
rnacentral:rRNA from 1 species